CCUACGGGCGGCAUCAGUGGGGAAUAUUGGACAAUGGGGGGAACCCUGAUCCAGCCAUGCCGCGUGUGUGAAGAAGGCCCUCGGGUUGUAAAGCACUUUCAGUGAGGAAGAACGCCUGGUGGUUAAUACCCAUCAGGAAAGACAUCACUCACAGAAGAAGCACCGGCUAACUCCGUGCCAGCAGCCGCGGUAAUACGGAGGGUGCGAGCGUUAAUCGGAAUUACUGGGCGUAAAGCGCGCGUAGGUGGCUUGAUAAGCCGGUUGUGAAAGCCCCGGGCUCAACCUGGGAACGGCAUCCGGAACUGUCAAGCUAGAGUGCAGGAGAGGAAGGUAGAAUUCCCGGUGUAGCGGUGAAAUGCGUAGAGAUCGGGAGGAAUACCAGUGGCGAAGGCGGCCUUCUGGACUGACACUGACACUGAGGUGCGAAAGCGUGGGUAGCAAACAGGAUUAGAUACCCUGGUAGUC
rnacentral:rRNA from 1 species